rnacentral:rRNA from 1 species
UGGGGAACCUGCCCCAUAGUCUGGGAUACCACUUGGAAACAGGUGCUAAUACCGGAUAAGAAAGCAGAUCGCAUGAUCAGCUUUUAAAAGGCGGCGUAAGCUGUCGCUAUGGGAUGGCCCCGCGGUGCAUUAGCUAGUUGGUAAGGUAAAGGCUUACCAAGGCGAUGAUGCAUAGCCGAGUUGAGAGACUUAUCGGCCACAUUGGGACUGAGACACGGCCCAAACUCCUACGGGAGGCAGCAGCC